rnacentral:rRNA from 1 species
AUUGAACGCUGGCGGCAGGCCUAACACAUGCAAGUCGAGCGGAUGAAGGGAGCUUGCUCCUGGAUUCAGCGGCGGACGGGUGAGUAAUGCCUAGGAAUCUGCCUGGUAGUGGGGGAUAACGUCCGGACACGGGCGCUAAUACCGCAUACGUUCUGAGGGAGAAAGUGGGGGAUCUUCGGACCUCACGCUAUCAGAUGAGCCUAGGUCGGAUUAGCUAGUUGGUGGGGUAAAGGCCUACCAAGGCGACGAUCCGUAACUGGUCUGAGAGGAUGAUCAGCCACACUGGAACUGAGACACGGUCCAGACUCCUACGGGAGGCAGCAGUGGGGAAUAUUGGGCAAUGGGCGAAAGCCUGAUGCAGCCAUGCCGCGUGUGUGAAGAAGGUCUUCGGAUUGUAAAGCACUUUAAGUUGGGAGGAAGGGCAGUAAGUUAAUACCUGGAUGUUUUGACGGUACCAACAGAAUAAGCACCGGCUAACUUCGUG